rnacentral:rRNA from 1 species
UACGAAGGGGGCUAGCGUUGCUCGGAAUCACUGGGCGUAAAGCGCACGUAGGCGGCUUUUUAAGUCAGGGGUGAAAUCCUGGAGCUCAACUCCAGAACUGCCUUUGAUACUGGGAAGCUUGAGUCCGGGAGAGGUGAGUGGAACUCCGAGUGUAGAGGUGAAACUCGUAGAUAUUCGGAAGAACACCAGUGGCGAAGGCGGCUCACUGGCCCGGUACUGACGCUGAGGUGCGAAAGUGUGGGGAGCAAACAGG